GUAAUAUCCGGUUUUAUUAUAAUUUUGGUUGUACAAAUUCCACCAACCGUGAACAGUAAUAUGUCCGGAAUUUUAUGAGUUUAUUUUAAGCAUCAAAGCUAUCGUGUACUUAAAGAAAACUCGCAUUUGCUAGUUUAUUAAGAUGGAAUAAAUCAGCAUGGAUGUUUAUGACGCAAUGAAAAACAGCAAACAAGAAAGAAUAUGUCAAGGGGGAAAGGGGGUAUCGAAAUAGACAUACAAAACCACAACAAAAAGAAAAAAAAAGAAAAAUGGUAAGUUGCAGUGAAUGAUAUUUUUACGACUUUAAAAAAAAAUCAUAAUUGUUAGUAUUAUAGAUGGUGGAGGAUCUACAACUUACUGUAGCAACAAUUUUACUGCCAACCAAGGACUGUGAACAUUAGCAAUAUGCCAAAUACGCUGUGCGACAUUUUGACUCGGAUGAAUUACCAUACUUCACAGACCUAAAGAUAAAUAAACUCAUCAUAGAUACCAGGACUAAAAUUAAUAUAAAUGCCAGACGCGCGUUUCGUCUACAAAAGACUCAUCAGUGACGCUCGAAUCCAAAAAAGUUAAAAAGUCCAAAUAAAGUACGAAGUUGAAGAGCAUUGAGGAC
rnacentral:lncRNA from 1 species